rnacentral:rRNA from 1 species
GUGGGGAAUAUUGGACAAUGGGGGGAACCCUGAUCCAGCCAUGCCGCGUGUGUGAAGAAGGCCUUUUGGUUGUAAAGCACUUUAAGCGAGGAGGAGGCUACCGAGAUUAAUACUCUUGGAUAGUGGACGUUACUCGCAGAAUAAGCACCGGCUAACUCUGUGCCAGCAGCCGCGGUAAUACAGAGGGUGCAAGCGUUAAUCGGAUUUACUGGGCGUAAAGCGCGCGUAGGUGGCCAAUUAAGUCAAAUGUGAAAUCCCCGAGCUUAACUUGGGAAUUGCAUUCGAUAGUGGUUGGCUAGAGUAUGGGAGAGGAUGGUAGAAUUCCAGGUGUAGCGGUGAAAUGCGUAGAGAUCUGGAGGAAUACCGAUGGCGAAGGCAGCCAUCUGGCCUAAUACUGACACUGAGGUGCGAAAGCAUGGGGAGCAAACAGGAUUAGAAACCCCAGUAGUCC